CAGCCGCCGCGGUAAUACGAAGGGGGCUAGCGUUGCUCGGAAUCACUGGGCGUAAAGGGCGCGUAGGCGGCCGAUUAAGUCGGGGGUGAAAGCCUGUGGCUCAACCACAGAAUUGCCUUCGAUACUGGUUGGCUUGAGACCGGAAGAGGACAGCGGAACUGCGAGUGUAGAGGUGAAAUUCGUAGAUAUUCGCAAGAACACCAGUGGCGAAGGCGGCUGUCUGGUCCGGUUCUGACGCUGAGGCGCGAAAGCGUGGGGAGCAAACAGGAUUAGAUACCCCCGUAGUCCCUGUCUCUUAUAC
rnacentral:rRNA from 1 species